UCUCAGGCUGGGAGCCCUUUUGUAUUAAGCAUGUAUGUAGAACAAAGGGACCGUCGCAAUUAAUACUAUAACAAAGACAGUUCUGAUACACAGAAUCCUCACUAGAGGCAAGUAUAGAGCAUACGUGUCACUGGCCAUACAAGUAUAAUACACCUUCUAGGGUUUUCAGAAGAAAAUGAGAGAAACUUAGAAAGCCAUAUGUGAGAGAAACAAAGGUUUUAUUUCUAAAGGCAAACUCUGAUCACAAACAAAAAAUAAGCCUCCUUAUAUAGAGGAGAGAUUAUCACUCUUACAAGCUACCGGGUAGACAAUUGGCUACCGACAUUUACAGAACACAAUUAUUAAAGCUUAAAGGAACACACUGUCAAAAGUAAAAGGUACAAUUAUUAUUGUAGGUGGCCGAUACUCUUUUGUCAUGGUGACCUUGAUAGGUUGUAAUUCCCGUGAUCAGAAUCAUCAGAGUCUACAUCCCCAUAAAAAGAUUGAUAUCAUGGCCCAUAUUCCUCAGGAGAUAGUGGUGCAGUUUGGAUUGCUUCACGUGUUUCAACGUCCAUAGGGUCUUGUGAGUCCUGCAAAAAAGGAUUGGUCCAGUCAAUGGGCUCUUGCUCUAGGGAAUGGACGGGUCCAAGAGAGGUACAUGUCACAUGUGGAGGUACAGGAGAGUGGUAAUUGUUAAUUUCGAAGAGGUAAUUGGCCAGCUGUCUUCUAAGUGAUCCCAUAACAUCUUUAUCUGUUAUAGUACCAUCAUAUGUCCUCCAUUCAUAUGCUGAAUUCUGUAACCAUAAGAGUCCAUUGGGCCUUUUAAAGAAAGGCCUGUGCAUGAUAAACAUGGACCUGAUUGUGGGGUGUGUUCUUAUGAGCAUUUCAUCAAUACCGUGGGUUUCUAUAAGUCUUCAGAGACUAUAUUGCCAUGUGGUUAUAGGCUUAAACCAUUCAAGGAAUCUUGACAAGAGAGUCCUUCUGUCGGUAGUGAGGGUGUACUGAUAAACAGCUUGUAGAGAAAAUUCAAUAGCUAUAGAAUACAGGGUUACCAUGCACCAGAGGAACCACAGUUCUUCAAGAAUGAGAUCCCUUUCAGGAUGAAUACUGAAACAGAUUAAGAAAAGACUGUUUGGCAGGAAAUAAGAAAUAGAGGGGAUUAAACCUCAAAGAGUAUUUCUAGCACUUUGGUAGUGGAAUAAGUGAUUUCUGGCGAACCUGAUAAUUUUUGGAAUAGCCAUGUUUGGAGAACAUCCUGGAGGAAAGUUGUCUGGUGUAGGGAUAAGGAACUCAGGAGUGUUGGCUGAAGAAGAUGAAGCC
rnacentral:misc_RNA from 1 species